CAGAGCUGCGACUCCCUCGGGAGCCAUCUCCACCCCUUGACUACCAAACAUUGUUGCUUUGGCGGGCCGCGGCCCUGCUGCCGCCGGCCCCGGCUGGCGAGCGCCCGCCAGAGACUUUUAAAAUCUUGCUUGCAAUGAGUCUGAGCGAUACAAAAAAUGCGAA
rnacentral:misc_RNA from 2 species